rfam:Picea glauca, whole genome shotgun sequence.
UCAAAGGUUUUAUUAAAGACCAAAGCAAAGAUCAUGUUAAAAGUCAU